UGUUAAAAAUUUCAUCCAUUUUUUCUGUUAAAAAUUGUCAUUGCUGACAGAAUAACUAGACAGUUACACGUGACGUGCCACAUGUACCUCAUUCUGACAUACAGUGACCAAUUUUUAACAGUAAAAAUGGAUGAAAUUGUUAAAA
rfam:Gossypium raimondii Chr13_contig_24, whole genome shotgun sequence.